rnacentral:rRNA from 1 species
GAUGAACGCUGGCGGCGUGCUUAAUACAUGCAAGUCGAGCGAACAGACGAGGAGCUUGCUCCUCUGACGUUAGCGGCGGACGGGUGAGUAACACGUGGAUAACCUACCUAUAAGACUGGGAUAACUUCGGGAAACCGGAGCUAAUACCGGAUAAUAUAUUGAACCGCAUGGUUCAAUAGUGAAAGACGGUUUUGCUAUCACUUAUAGAUGGAUCCGCGCCGCAUUAGCUAGUUGGUAAGGUAACGGCUUACCAAGGCAACGAUGCGUAGCCGACCUGAGAGGGUGAUCGGCCACACUGGAACUGAGACACGGUCCAGACUCCUACGGGAGGAAGCAGUAGGGAAUCUUCCGCAAUGGGCGAAAGCCUGACGGAGCAACGCCGCGUGAGUGAUGAAGGUCUUCGGAUCGUAAAACUCUGUUAUUAGGGAAGAACAAAUGUGUAAGUAACUAUGCACGUCUUGACGGUACCUAAUCAGAAAGCCACGGCUAACUACGUG